rnacentral:misc_RNA from 1 species
GUGAUUAAUCGAGCGUGUCUUCAUUGACCGCUCAACCUUCUCACCAUCCACAUACACCUGUGCACUGUUUAGCCUGAGCCGGUUUCCGUCCAGGUUAUCAUUUCAUACAAACUCUAGUCUUAUGAUGUAAACGUUUUAAUAACAUAAU